AGGAUGAACGCUGGCGGCGUGCCUAAAACAUGCAAGUCAUACGGGCUACCUUCGGGUAGCCAGUGGCAAACGGGUGAGUAACACGUGGGAACGCGCCUUGGGGUGGGGAAUAACGCUGAGAAAUCAGUGCUAAUACCGCAUAUGGUCUAACGACUAAAGCAGCAAUGCGCCCCGAGAGCGGCCCGCGACCGAUUAGCUAGUUGGUGGGGUAAUGGCCUACCAAGGCGGUGAUCGGUAGCUGGUCUGAGAGGAUGGUCAGCCACACUGGGACUGCGAACGGCCCAGACUCCUACGGGAGGCAGCAGUUAGGAAUUUUCGGCAAUGGACGAAAGUCUGACCGAGCGACGCCGCGUGGAGGAUGACGCCUUUCGGGGUGUAAACUCCUUUUCUGCGGAAGAUAAUGACGGUACCGCAGGAAUAAGCACCGGCUAACUACGCGCCAGCAGCCGC
rnacentral:rRNA from 1 species